rnacentral:lncRNA from 1 species
GUGAGUUAGCCCUGCAGGAGGAUGAGGCAGGAGUUGAGACGCUAUAAGUGGACUAAGUGGCCAAAGCCUGUGACAUUAAGGAGUAGGAAAGGAUGCUGAGAGGAUAAUCUCAGAGAUGCAGCUCUCCAGCUGAUGAAAAUCAGAAGAGCCAGAUAAUCACUGAGAGGGAUUCCCACCUAGAAAGAAGGCAAUUGCAGGGGCUUUAAGAAAAAGGGUGCAGUAGUUGCUCCAGUUCUGCCUGUCAUUCCUGCACCACUGCCUUUCCAAGCACUGUCUCUUAAGAUGCUGGAGGAGGGGCUGAGGCCCUUUUAAUGAAGUGAAAGGAUGAGCGGGAGGCUGACCAGAACAGCAGUGGAAAGAGCAAAGACACAUGCUGAGAGCCCUGUGCAUGGGGAAACCAGAGCCGCAGCUUGUUCCAGACCCCGGAGCCUCUGAAGCACAGAUGUCUCCAGGAAAUCUUCAUGCUUCACCCCAACAGAGCUCUGGCCAGUAUCAUUUCUGCCCUGUGAGUUAAACCAGUGCCUACAAGCUCGUCUCCGCAUCUGUGGCCUCUGAACACCCUGUGGAGAUGUUAGGCUCUGUUUAUUGUGCAGGACUCACAGACCUGAGUUACAGGGCUAUCUGCAUUCAGCAACACGGUUCCUGUGUUCUCUGCUGACCUUGCAGGAAAAGAAUCUCCUUGGUCUAUUUUAAGUUGUAAAAGGAAAGAAUAUGAGACUCUUCCUAAAUUCUUGAAACCGGUAUCUGGGCCUCUGGGAAUGAAGAAAGACUCUGACUGUGACUGCAUUUAGGGUUCUUUUAUCAGGAUUAGUUCUGUCCCAGAAUUCAGAUGCAUGACUGAGGGGAUCCAUGUGAAAGAAAGACAUCCUAAUGUUGCUGGUGUUGGAAGGCAUGGAGGAAGAGCAGACACAGACCUCUGCUUUGGGAUGUCAUGCAUGAACCAGAGCCAGCUCGAGCUGCACUCUUCCCCCUGCUCCUUGCAUACAGCACGGUGUGGAUUUCACUGUUACUGGGAGAGCUGCUGCUUGGAGGAAAGUAUGGUUUACUCCUCAGUGUCCAAAGACAUCCUACCAAAAGGGUCACCACUGUUUUGUGUAGACCUCAGAAGGAGAACACGGACUAAUUUGUUUCCCCAAAAUAAGGUUUUCUUUUAGAAACAAGAGAGCUAUUUUGUUUCUUGUGCAGUCUGAGGUAUAACAUGGAGUUCCAGUUUCCCUUAAGAGCUGAACUCCAUCCUCCUCCUACUAGGAUGGUUUUAUUUUAGUUACCAAAUAUUUGAGGUUAAAGUGAAUAGUUCAUCUUUAAUGGGAUUAUCUCUUUCAAUGUUUGCUUUCAUUACAGUUCCAAUUGCUCUGAGCAUGAGAACCUAACCUCACCAAAAGCAUAUUUUUGUAAUUUGAUACAAACUAAAUUUAACCUUUGACUCUCAUCUAUAGAGACGUUAGCUUUUUCCACUGAAAAGCAGAACGUUAGAUUAAAGAUCUGGCAGUUUCAAUUUCCAGGUUGCUAACCUUCCUGUGAUUGGGUCCUGAAAUGUGGAAAGAUGUGUAUUUAAUAAAUUUAUUUAAUAUUAAUUGUAACAGUCAAGAUGGUUUUAUACCUACUGCUUAGAAUAGCUGGAUGGAGGUUCUCUAUGAACUUUUAAAGGGAGAACUGCCUUGGCUGAUGCUGCACAAUACACUGGAUCUCUUUAAACAGAGAUAUUCAAAAUAAAACCUCUCCUUUGAGUUACUCUUCCAGUUCAUCCCAGUGCUUUGGUUAAACAAAUAAUUUUUAUUUAAACACUUUGGAAUACUAAGCCUGUGCUUAGGGAAAAAAAAGGUUUAUGUUCACUUUGUGCUCUCUCUCUUGAGGGUUGGCUUUAAAUGUGAUACCGAAUGGGUAACAAAUUCUCUGUAUUAUUCUACAUUUUCUCCAGUUAAGCCAUCAGGGAAACUGGAGGGGAAGGGUUGCUUUCUAGAAAAACUAAAUUCUUGUUCCCUGCUGGAAGAAUCAAUCUAAAUACAUGGAUUUUUUUCACUUCUGCUUUGAUGAAAUUAAAUGUUGAAAUUUUCA